AUUGAACGCUGGCGGCAGGCUUAACACAUGCAAGUCGAGCGAGCGGCGGACGGGUGAGUAAUGUCUGGGAAACUGCCUGAUGGAGGGGGAUAACUACUGGAAACGGUAGCUAAUACCGCAUACCAUCAGAUGUGCCCAGAUGGGAUUAGAUAGUAGGUGGGGUAAUGGCUCACCUAGGCGACGAUCCCUAGCUGGCCUGAGGGGAGGACCAGCCAAACUGGGGCUGAGACACGGUCCAGACUCCUACGGGAGGCAGCAGUGGGGAAUUUUGCACAAUUGGCGCAAGCCUGAUGCAGCCAGGCCGGGUGUGGGAAUAAGGCCUUCGGGUUAUAAAGCACUUUCAGCGAGGAGGCGUUACUCACAGAAGAAGCACCGGCUAACUCCGUGCCAGCAGCCGCGGUAAUAC
rnacentral:rRNA from 1 species